UGGAGAUACCGGGGCUUGAACCCAAGGCCUCUCACUUGAGAAGUGAGCGCUCAACCACUGAGCUACAC